AAUUGCUCCCAUGCAAAGCUUGUAGGAAGCAGAAAAGCAGAGUUCCUGUGGCAUAAUGACUGUUCUGGAAAAUGCUGUCAGUGGAUUUUCCAUUACUGGGCACAUAUAAUGAAUGGGAAAAAGUGCAGAGAGAUCCCAUAGGUACAGUGGUGGAUGUGUAGAAGGGCGAUGGAUGUCAUCUACCUGGACUUCUGCAAAGCCUUUGACAUGGUUCCUCUCCAUCCUUCUCUCUAAAUUGAAGAGGUAUGGAUUUGAAGGAUAGACUCUUUGAUAGAUUAGGAAUUGGCUGGCUAGACGCAGCCAAAGGGUUGUGAUCAAUGGUUCUGUGUCAGGGUGGAGGCUGGUCA
rnacentral:lncRNA from 1 species